rnacentral:rRNA from 1 species
AUUGCAUCAUUCUAAGGAUGAUGCAAGAUCGACUAAGUUGAAUAAAAUUCUAGGUAGAAUUAUGAUAAUGACAUUGUCUGCCUAUGUGUCUUGACCAAAUUACGUGCCAGCAGUCGCGGCAAUACGUAGAAGACUAGUGUUAUUCAUGUUUAAUCGGUUUAAAGGGUACCUAGACGGUAAAUCAAGCUUUCUCAUAAGAAAUGGACUAAUUUACUAGAGUUACUUACGGUGGGGCAUUAAAGUACUGUUGGUGUAGAGAUGAAAUUCUGUCAUACCUCUUUUCGAAAAAAAAAUCAUGGCACUGGUACAGGCGAAGGCAUCCCCUUAUGUGAUAACUGACGUUGAGGGACGAAGGCUUAAUGUAACAAACAGGAUUAGAUACCCUAUUAGUUGAAGCAGAAAAUGAUGAAUGUCAUAGACUAGAUAGAUAAGUUUAUUCUAUAAAUGAAAGUGUAAGCAUUCCACCUCAUGAGUAAUUUGGCAACAUUGGAAUUGAAAUCAUUAGACCGUUUCUGAAACCAG